AGGACUGCCGUUAACUCCAUUUCAGAAAUGACCACCCGACUUUCCACCGUGGUACUGUUAGGCUAUGAAGGCUUUAAUGGAACUAGAAAUGCAAUAAAACAGUGGAUGAGGCAUGAAAUUAAAUCUCGGCGUCUGGAGGCUUUAAACAGAGUGUCAGUAUAUUAAACAUAUUGGAGCUACUGGGCUUUCAAAGUACCUGGAUAUUUCCAUGCUAUAGAGCAGUAAAAUGUUUGCAAAACUGAAGAAGAAAAUAGCGGAAGAGGCAGCUAUUGCUCCCAGACCAGGAGGAGCUGCCAGGAUACCCAGGUCUGUUAGCAAGGAGUCAAUUACAUCUGUGGGAGCAGACUCCGGAGAUGACUUUGCUUCUGAUGGAAGCAGCUCGAGAGAGGAUCUUUCAUCCCAGUUGUUCAGAAGAAAUGAACAAAUAAGAAAACUGGAGGUCAAGCUGUCUGAUUAUGCUGAUCAGAUCCGAAACUUGCAGAAGAUAAAAGAGAAGCUUGAAAAUGCAUUAGAAAAGCAUCAGGAUUCCUCCAUGAGGAAGUUUCAGGAACAGAAUGAAGCUCACCAGGCAAGUCGAGCCAAGAUGGCUGAAGGAAUGGCUUUGGCCUUAGAAAAAAAGGACCAGGAGUGGAUAGAAAAACUGGGUCAAGUUGAAAAGGAAAAAAAAAUGCUUGAGACACAGUUACAAGAAAUGAAGGAGCAGAGUUUGAACUUUUUUCAAAAAAGAGAUGAAAUUGAUGAACUGGAGGGCUUUCAACAGCAGGAAAUUGCCAAAGUUAAACACAUGCUUUUGAAAAAGGAAGAAUCUCUGAGCAAAACAGAGCAGGAGCUAGAGGCGUGCACUCGAGAACUAGCCCACGCUAAAGAGGUGCUUCAGGAUGCAAGCAACGAGUCAUCAGGCCUAAGGAAAGAUCUUCAAGAAUUGCAGCAGCAGUUCUUGGAGCUAGAGGCACAGAGAGAUGAACUAAUGACAGCUGAGACAAAUGCAGAAAAUAAGAUCACUGCUCUGGAGUUAAGAGAACAGGAGCUACAAACUGUCAUUCAGCAGCUUUCUGUAGACUUGCAAAAUGCUCGAAUUUCUGGUUCUGGUUGUGAGAAGAGACUGGAAGUGUUACAAGUGGAGCAUGAAUCUCUGAAGGUGGAAUAUGAACAACACAAGCAAAAGAUGACUUUUGAAUUUGCUGAGAGAAAUAAACUUACCGAACAGUUGCAGGAAAAAGUGUCUUCCUUGGAAAAAAAGCUAGAAAGAAAUCUUUCAGGAGAUGAACAUGUGCAGGAGCUACUCAGAGAGAAAGCUACUCUUGAGCAAAAACUGGAUGAAACCAGGCAGCAGGUACUAACAGACAGAACGCAUCACACUGAGACUGUGAACCGGUUGGAAACACAGAAUAAAGAACUGGAACAAAAACUACAGAUUGCAACAGAAGCAUUGAAAAAGAGUGAAGAAGCAGCUGCUGAGCAGGAUCUGAAGAUCCAGAAGUUGCAAACUGAUCUAGAGGACGAAAGAAGUAAACUACAGCAACAGAUUUUAAGUGAGAAACAGCAGUAUGAUCGGAAAAUUUCUGGGCUGGAGUCUCAAAUUGCUGCUCUUGAAACAGCUUGGGAAUUUGAUAAAACAGCUACUCAGCACAAGAUCAGCCAGUUGGAAAAGGAAAAGGAAAAUCUUAAUGGAAGCAGAGCAGAGUAUGAGAGCUCUUUAAAAAAACAAGAGUCUGAAUUGAACAGGUUAAAGAAUGAAUUGAGCAGCAGAGAGACUGUCAGUGUUGAAAUUGCCAAAGCAUUGGAAGAAGCACGAAAACAGAGAGAGGAGUUACAACAGCAGGUUUCACAUCUGGCUUCCUUAAUAAAGGAAAAAGACCAGCUGAUUGAUGAAAAAUGUGAUAUGCUUCUAAAACAGAAGGAAGAACUGAACCAACUCAGUCAAGAUCAUGAAGCUGUCUUGCUGCAAAUGCAUCAGUUGCAGUCUGACAUAGAAGCAAGUAAUAGCCGAGCAGUGGAGAAAGAAGAAAUGGCAAGAAAGGAAAUCGAUGAAAUGAAGUUGCAGAUGCAGGAGUGCCUGUUGGCCAGAGAACACGAGAAAAAUGUUUCAGAACUAGAGAAAUCAACGAGAGCCCUGAACAACAAGCGUUUCCAUUCUCCAGAAAACCAUGUGGUGGAACAGAAUGGAGAGGUAGUGGCUGCAGAUGUCAUUCAACUUCAGAAGGAUAACAGAGAGCUGGAACAGCAAAUUGCUGAGAAAAACAAGAUGAUAAAGCAGCUACAGCAAAGAAUGACAGAACUCAAGAAAACCCUCCAGAAAGAGUUGAAAAUAAGGCCUGACAGUGAGGUACCUGAAGUACGUGAAAAAGCAAAUUCUGAAGUGCCUAAUGCUUCUGUGACUGUCACAAACAACUCUGAUUUAAAUGACUCAAGGGAGAUAAACUUUGAAUACCUUAAACAUGUUGUACUAAAAUUCAUGUCCUGCCGGGAAUCUGAGGCAUUCCAUCUAAUUAAAGCUGUAUCUGUAUUACUGAAUUUUUCACAAGAGGAAGAAAACAUGCUUAAAGAGACUUUGGAGUACAAGAUGUCAUGGUUUGGGUCAAAGCCAUCUCCGAAAGGCAGUAUCCGGCCCUCUAUCUCAAGCCCAAGGACACUGUGGCCUUAAGGGAACCUGAAAUUGGACAGUCAGCAUCUAGCCACUUUUUUCUGUGAAAAGAACGUUGAACACACUAAUUCAGUUCUGGUUAUCUCUCUCCACUGGGAUGCUAUAGCUAUUUAAAAUUGAGAGAAUUUUAAAGCAUGAAACAAACCCCACCUUCUGCCCAGGACAUAAUUCAAAUACAGCCCAGUGGGUAUUACAAUGUAUGAAAGGAGAGCAGUGAUCAACAGUACGAGACACCUCACUGUCCUUAGGAGACAUGAAUGCAAAGCAUCCACUUGGAGCUACCUGCAUGCGCUGCAUGCAUGUAAACGUUCCUGAGUUGCCAGACCUGAUAUACAGGGGGAUGACAGCCCUUUUCCAGAGGACAGACUGGUACUACUACUGUGCAGCUGACUCCUCUCUGAGCAAGCCACACGUCUUACCGGUAGUGCCAAAAAGCAGAACACAACCAAGGUUUUAAACUCUGCCCAGCCUACUUCAGAUCUGCCUUGUUCCUUUCAAAACAAAGACAACGAAAUGCUUUACAUGUGCCUACAUGCUCUGAGCACUGUCAUCUUUCCAGUCAGAGUGGUGUUGUGUAACAUUACACACUGGGAGCACCCACCCAUGGUUAGUUGAAAACAGUCUCCAGUGGAAACAGCAACAGAAAGAAAAAGAAAAAAAAAAAAUCAAGCAGAAACAUGUUCUUUGCUGUCCUGAGAAAUUCCCUCCUGCUCCCCUGUCAAGGUUCUGCAAAGCCAGUGACAGCUGCUAGUAGCUGGAGUCACUCUACACAAGUUCUGUCUUUACAUAUCACUGGAAAAAAACCCAUACUCUGUGAAAAUGACAGUGGCACUACCAGCAGGCUGCACUGCUACAGUGCCGGUGGUACAGGGAGCUGCAGCAUUCCUAGGGAUCAUUUCUCCUAGGAGGAGCACUGACAGCCAGCGCCGCAGCUAAAACCCCUGCAGUGGGGAAAGACUCCCCUGGAUUCCUGCGUGGGGGCGGUGGCGCCCAGCAGCUGCUUCCUGUGCCUCACCCUGUCACAGAGGGAAUGUUCAACAGUCGGCCGACGACCACAUCCUGCCCUCCCUGUUUCACAACGGGCAUUCCACAGAAACAGGAGAGGACCACUCUGGAUCCCAGUGGGAUCUUUUUGGAGAUCUCGGAGGCCUCUCCUGUGUAAACCAAAGAGGUUUGCUAAAUCCUGUUAUGAAGCUGUGACACAUAUGCUGCUAGCAGCGCUCAGCUGAUGAAAACUGCCAGACCCGAGCCAGCCUGAGCACCCCCUCGGCCAAACACUCGGCUACAAAGGAACAAUGCCAGCUACCCCCUUCAACCACCCACACCUCCGCUCCCAGCUCUUCCUCCUCGGUGGGGCCACUCCACUCCUUAGAUGCAGAAGAAAGCGCAAUGCUUCCUCCAGCAGACGCUGCCCUGCCACAGGUCUCGCCUCUCCCCCUGGCUGAAGGAAAGGUUUGAAAUAGGAGUAAAGGCUUAAUGAGUCUGAGCUCAAGGAGACCAAAGAUAAAAGGAAACGCCAGUUACUGUGCUCCUCGGGGUGAGCCCCCCACCAUCACCCGCUUCUCUUGCAGGGCCUCUCGUGAAAGCACCAACAGGGUCCCUGGGGAGUGUGGCCGAGCCAAGAGAGCACCAAACACGUACCUUUUCAUGCCACUGAAGUAAUAUUGCACUGCUAUUUUCUGUUGGCUUUUCAAAUCCUUUAUAAAUGUAC